UCCUGUGUAAACUUGUUCAUUUUCUCCUUUCAAGAUGCCAACGUCUCGGGAGAGAAUGUGCCGCUCGGAAAUGCAGGACAGAUGCCAGGGAAGUCCAGAACACAUUGACAUGUCUGUGUUGUUUGCAACAUGACUUUGUGACUUCAAGGCAUCUGAACAGAAUCUCCACUUCGAGUUCCAUUCCGGAAUAGGAAUGCGUGUGCUGGAUACCUGAUUCCAGACCAUGACACUGAUGUGCUUUCUGAAAAUUCAGGGUUUGCGCUCUGUGGUCAGUGGAAUUGCAACAUGGACUCAAACACACUGUGGACUGUCCUGAAACAAGAUGGCUGGUGUUCUGGGCUGCUCUAAGCUAUGCAUGUUUCCUCUGUAUGUGGCUGGGCAGGGAGCCGUGAUGGCAGCUAGACAGUACCAUCAAUGCAGUUGAAGCAGGAUGGAGUCUGAAGGACCUGACGGUGGUACCAGACUAGUCACUAGUAGACACUUGUUACUGCACUACCUCAAGGUCCUAACUGUUGUACUAGACUGGCCACUAGAAGGAAACUCUUUGCUGUGAAAUGAAGUCAAGGUGUG